rnacentral:misc_RNA from 1 species
UGUCGGAUCCCUGCUCGGGCAGCGACGGCAUGCCGCACGUGCCUCCUCAGUUGGUGUUCAAGCGCGCAUCUGCCUUGGCCGGUGUUGGUUUUCUGUGUUGCAUACCAGGCGAAGGUAAUCGGUGGCCCAAACGUCCCUUUUCCGUCAUGCGCUGCGGCCCCAUGGGGUCGCGGCGCGGGGCGGACCACGAAGACCCGUCGAGUUCCGCGUGUCGUGCGCCGUGAAACAGCGCGCGGGCGUUGGCCCUCGGCGACGUGCUCGAUCUCUCGGAUGCGGAAAAUCGCGUGGCACGUGGCCCCAGGCCACUAUCUGCCCCAAAACAAGCGUUUCACGCUUCGUGCGAACGACAGCCGCCCCCGUUUCGAUCGAGCACUCGUGGCUCGAGCCGUGCGGUGUCGGGUC